CACAUCAUAUCACGGAGCCACAGAUAUCUAACUGAUCACUGAAGUUGGAGCAGGACUAGGUUUACAGAUGGAAAGAUGAAGGCUGUGCCUUAUAAGAACAGAUUUUGCGUAUGUUCAGUAUAUCAUCUUAUCACAAAGAUGUCUUUGAAGAACUUGCCACUAUGAGAGACUGGGAAGAAUAUUCCAAAGUGUUAUUCCGAAAUACUGUGUGCAAUUAAUGGCAGAUCACUGUAACAAAUGGAACCUCCUUAGACUGUGUAAUGCUAAUAAAAUUUUGAUUGUGCAUGUUCUAAGCAUGAUUGGUUUCAAGAA